rnacentral:lncRNA from 1 species
UUCGGAUGGACUAUGUGGUCACAUGAGACUCAUGUUCGAAUAAUAUAGCAAAAGGCUACAUAAAAACGGUUCCUACUUGGACAUGUAACUUUUUAUCGGGGUUUCUUUUUUCAACAAUGAUUAAAAUGCUAACAUUUAAAACUGGACAUUUGGUUCCCAAUCCAUUCAUAUUAUUGUUUUGCUUUACAUGAGAGGAACAGAUAGAUUAGAUAGAUUACUAGCCUAAUAAGUAUGACCUAAGACCCUAUAUUUGGUACACGUUCUAAGUCAACAUUAUAUUGCACCCACCUGCCUAUUUAUGGUGGCUUUAUUGUGCACCUAUCUAGGAUGCUUCCAACUUUGAUUAAUCACACUCCCCACUACCUCCUUAGGACAUAGGCUCGAAUCUUCUCUCAUUCUCGGUGUCUACUGACGGUGGAGGCAUUAUAUUAUACCACCCGCCUAUUUAUGAUGGCUUUAUUGUGCACCUAUCUAGCUAGGACGCUUCCGACUUUGAUUAAUCACACUCCCCACUACCUCCUUAGGAUAUAGGCUCGAAUCUUCUCUCAUUCUUGCUAUCUACUGACGGUGGAGGCCACACUUCGCGUGGCCUCUAGGCACAAAGUCACCUUAAUAGUUGUCCACGUACUAUUAUCCUAUCUCCCAUUUC